rnacentral:rRNA from 1 species
GACAGAGGGGGCAAGCGUUGCUCGGAAUCACUGGGCGUAAAGAGCUCGUAGGCGGUUUGUUGCGUCGGCUGUGAAAUCCCGAGGCUCAACCUCGGGUCUGCAGUCGAUACGAGCAAACUAGAGUGUUGCAGGGGAGACUGGAAUUCCUGGUGUAGCGGUGAAAUGCGCAGAGUAUCAGGAGGAACACCGGUGGCGAAGGCGGGUCUCUGGGCAACAACUGACGCUGAGGAGCGAAAGCGUGGGAGCGAACAGG